CAAAAACAUAACUAUAUGAGUCUACAUAUAGCUAUUUCUGCUCAAUGAUUAUUUAAAUAGCCGCAGUAAUUUGACUGUGCAAAGGUAGCAUAAUCAUUUGACCUAUAAUUGAGGCCUAGUAUGAAAGAAUAUAUGGGGGCUAGCUGUAUCAAAAGCGGGAAUUAAAGUUACUUAGUGGGUGAAAAUUCCCACUUUAAAAUAAUAGACGAGAAGACCCUAGAAAUUUUUAGAAUUUUUAAAGUUUGGUUUUUGUUGGGGCGACAUAAUAGCAUAAAACCUAUUUUAAUUAUAUAUGAUUAUUAUAAUAAGGCAAAUCAAAUUACUCUAGGGAUAACAGCAUAAUAUUAAAAAGUUUGUGACCUCGAUGUUGGACUAGGGAAUAAUAGCCCAGAAGGCUACUUAUUAGGCUCUGUUCGAGCAUAACCCCCUACGUGAUCUGAGUUCAGA
rnacentral:rRNA from 1 species